rnacentral:lncRNA from 10 species
GGGAAAAUCUACGUUCUGUAGAGAACCUCCUUUCUUUUUCCAGGUCUCUUCUUUGAUCCAAGAGAGAAUUAACUAAGAGUCUGGUAUCUUUUUAGUUCUGCUAAGAGCUCUAACGCCUGCUACCUGGAGGCUUCAUCUGCAUGAAAAGACCAAAAUUUCAGUCUCCACACCCCCUUAUAUUAACCUAGACAUUCCUUUCUGUUGAUUCCGGGUCUUUAGAUAAUAACUCUUUCAACCAAUUGCCCAUCAGAAAAUCUUUGAAUCUACCUAUGACCUGGUAGCCCUUCCCACCUUUCUGGAUCAAACCAAUGUACAUCUUACAUGCAUUAAUUGAUGCCAUAUGUCUCCCUAAAAUGUAUAAAAUCAAGCUGUAGCCUGACCACCUUGGGCACAUAUUGUCAGGAUUUCCUGGGGCUGUGUUAUGAGCCAUUGGUCAUUCAUAUUUGGCUCAGAAUAAGUCUCUUCAAAUAUUUUACAGAGUUUGACUUUUUUCUUUGGCAAGUUGAAGGUGGUAGAUUUUGGGACAAAUCCACAUAAUCGUGUGAAUUUCUCCUUAUAUUCAAUGGCAAACCAAGUAUGAAAGAGAAAAGGCAAAGAAUUGGAUUUAUCUUUGGUUACAAUAACACUAGCUACACUAACAAACUUAGAAAUAUCAGUGGUUAAACACAACAGAAUAUUAUUUCUUACGCAUAAAAAAAUCAUCAACUAGUAAUCGGAUUGAUUCCAUGAAGGCAGUUAGGAAGCCAUUAGUGAAGUUUUGGCCAUCUUCAGCAUGCAACUUUCAUGAACAUUUUGGGUGCUGUCAUUCAGCAGAUGAGGGGAGAAAGUGCAGGGUCUGGCCAGAGGUUGAUAGCACAUAUAACUUUAAAAAAAUUUCACCCCAAAAUAUAUAAUAUUUGUUUGACAUAUUUCAAGAUAGCUAUUUAGAGUCUAAAAACACAAGAAUAGCUAAAAGGUUGCCUUUUGUGAAGAUUUGCAUCUGUAGAGAAAAAUCUGCAUUGGUGAAAUAAACAGCCAAGCUUUCCCUGGCACACCGGCUCCCCCUACCCCUCCUACCCCAAACUCCAGUGUCCAGAUAUAGGAAAGAUUGGCUUGUGGAAGAGAGAGAAUGAGAGUCUGACACUUUCAGGAGUCUGACAGAAACUUACUUUCUGAGCACUGCUACCUGUGAGGUUUCAUCUGCAUAACAAAACUGCCUUUGCCAGCUAAGGCCUCUCUUCUUCUCUCUCUCACAUCACUUGUCUUGCCAUGCUUCAAGCCCCUAUUCUUUCUGUAACCUCAAGAUGGUAUAAAAACAUCAACCAUCUGGUUCUUUAAAUUUUCAUAUUUUGUAUAACUUCCAUACACACCCUUGCAUAUUAAUAAAUUUUAUGGCUUUUUCUAUUAACCUGCCUUUUGUCAGCUGAUUUUCAGUGAACCUUCAGAGGGCAAAAGGGAAGUUUUUCCUUGGCCUCUACAGUUUUGGUGCUGUGAGCAACACAAUCACAACCACCCUGCUCUUUUGGAAGCCACAGUCAAGGGAACUCUGGACCUAACAAGCUGGCAGAAGGACCCUGCACUCAGAUCAGCUAGUGUCACCCAGAUCAAUAAACUGGCUCAUCUGGUCUUGUGGCCCCCACACAGGAACUGACUUAGUGCAAGAGGCUUCAACUCCCUAUGAUUUCAUCUCCAACCGGACCAGUCAACACUCCCCACUUCCCAACCCCCUACCCACCAUGUUAUCCUUAAAAACCCCAGUCUCUCAGUUUUCAGAAAGACUAAUUUGAGUAACAAUAAAACUCUGGUC